rnacentral:tRNA from 1 species
CAGAUUGAUGCUCGCUGGUUGGAGCACUUAGCUGUUAACUAAGUUUUCGCAGGAUCAAGGCCUGCCGGUCUAG